rnacentral:rRNA from 1 species
CGGGGGGGGGGGCAAGCGUUGUUCGGAAUUACUGGGCGUAAAGGGCGUGUAGGCGGUCCUGCAAGUCUUUCGUGAAAUCCCACAGCUCAACUGUGGAACUGCGAGGGAAACUGCAGGACUUGAGUCCGGGAGAGGAGAGUGGAAUUCCCAGUGUAGCGGUGAAAUGCGUAGAUAUUGGGAGGAACACCGGUGGCGAAGGCGGCUCUCUGGACCGGUACUGACGCUGAGGCGCGAAAGCUAGGGGAGCAAACGGGAUUAGAUACCCCGGUAGUCCUAGCCUUAAACGAUGAGCACUUGGUGUGGCGGGUAUCGACCCCUGCCGUGCCGAAGCUAACGCAUUAAGUGCUCCGCCUGGGGAGUACGGUCGCAGGGCUG